GACGAACGCUGGCGGCGUGCUUAACACAUGCAAGUCGAACGGAGUGGCGAAAGGGUGAGUAACACGUGGGUGACCUCCCCUGCACUUCGGGGUAAGCCUGGGAAACUGGGGCUAAUACCGGGGAGUGUGGGAUGGGCCCGCGGCGUAUCAGCGUGUUGGUGGGGUAAUGGCCUACAAAGGCGGCGACGGGUAGCCGGCCUGCGAGGGUGGACGGCCACAUUGGGACUGAGACACGGCCCAGACUCCUACUGGAGGCAGCAGUGGGGAAUAUUGCACAAUGGGCGGAAGCCUGAUGCAGCGACGCCGCGUGGGGGAUGACGGCCUGCGGGUUGUAAACUCCUUUAACCAUCGACGCGGUAGAUGGAGAAGAAGCACCGGCUAACUACGUGCCAGCAGCCGCGGUAAUUC
rnacentral:rRNA from 1 species